rnacentral:tRNA from 1 species
GCCUGGAUAGCUCAAUUGGUUAGGGCAUGGUGCUGAUACCACCAAGAUUGCAAGUUUGAUCCCUGAAUGGGCA